AGUCGAACGGCAGCACAAUUUUCGGUCUGGUGGCGAGUGGCGAACGGUGAGUAAUGUAUCGGAACGUGCCUAGUAGCGGGGAAUAACUAUUAUGAAAGCGUAGCUAAUACCGCACAUUGGCCCUUCGGGGGAAAGCGGGGGGACCUUCGGGCCUCGCACUAUUAGAGCGGCCGAGAAUGGAUUAGCUAGUUGCGGGUAAUGGCUCACCAGUGACGAUCCGUAGCUGGUUUGAGAGGACGACCAGCCACACUGGGACUGAGACACGGCCCAGACUCCUACGGAGGCAGCAGUGGGGAAUUUUGGACAAUGGGGAAACUUCUGACCCAGCCAUCCCGCGUAAGUGAUGAAGGCCUUCGGUUGUAAAGCACUUGGCAGGAAGAAACGGCACGGAUAAUACCGUGCAACUGACGGUACCUGCAGAAUAAGCACCGGCUAACUACGCCAGCAGCCGCGGUGGAACACGUAGGGGUGCAAGCGUUAAUCGGAAUUACUGGGCGUAAGCGUGCGCAGGCGGUCUGAAAGAAAAAAGAUGUGAAAUCCCAGAGCUUAACUUUGAACUGCAUUUUUAACUACCGAGCUAGAGUGUGUCAGAGGGAGGUGGACUCCGCGUGUAGCAGUGAAAUGCGUAGAUAUGCGGAGGAACACCGAUGGUGAAGGCAGCCUCCUGGGAUAACACUGACGCUCAUGCACGAAAGCGUGGGGAGCAAACAGAUUAGACAUCCCGGUAGUCCACGCCCUAAACGAUGUCAACUAGCUGUUGGGGCCUUCGCCUUGAAGGCAGCUAACGCGUGAAGUUGACCGCCUGGGGAGUACGGUCGCAAGAUUAAAACUCAAAGGAAUUGACGGGGACCCGCACAAGCGGUGGGAUGAUGAUUGUCUGAUGCAACGCGAAACCCAUCAAUUUUUGACAUGUCUGGGAAUCCGAAGAGAUUUGGGAGUGCUCGCAAGAGAACCGGAACACAGGUGCUGCAUGGCUGCCGUCAGUUCGUGUCGUGAGAUGUUGGGUUAAGUCCCGCAACGAGCGCAACCUUGUCAUUAGUUGCUACGAAAGGGCACUUUCAUCGAGACUGUUUGUGACAAACCGGAGGAAGGUGGGGAUGACGUCAAGUCCUCAUGGUCCUUAUGGGUAGGGCUUCACAUCGUCAUACAAUGGUCGGGACGAGAGGGUCGCCAACCCAGGGGGAGCCAAUCCCAGAAACCCGAUCGGGGUCCGGAUCGCAGUCUGCAACUCGACUGCGUGGAAGUCGGAAUCGCUAGUAACGGGUGACCGUGGUGUCGCGGGUGAAUACGUUCCUCGGGUCUUGUACAUUAACGCCUCGUCACAUGGGAGUGGGUUUUACCAGGCGGUUAGCCUGAACCGUAAGGAGGGCGAUUACCACGGUAGAUUCAUGACUGGGGUGAAGUCAACAAGGUAA
rnacentral:rRNA from 1 species